rnacentral:rRNA from 1 species
ACUAAGCGUACACGGUGGAUGCCCUGGCAGUCAGAGGCGAUGAAGGACGUGCUAAUCUGCGAUAAGCGUCGGUAAGGUGAUAUGAACCGUUAUAACCGGCGAUUUCCGAAUGGGGAAACCCAGUGUGAUUCGUCACACUAUCAUUAACUGAAUCCAUAGGUUAAUGAGGCGAACCGGGGGAACUGAAACAUCUAAGUACCCCGAGGAAAAGAAAUCAACCGAGAUUCCCCCAGUAGCGGCGAGCGAACGGGGAGCAGCCCAGAGCCUGAAUCAGUGUGUGUGUUAGUGGAAGCGUCUGGAAAGGCGUGCGAUACAGGGUGACAGCCCCGUACACAAAAAUGCACAUGCUGUGAGCUCGAUGAGUAGGGCGGGACACGUGGUAUCCUGUCUGAAUAUGGGGGGACCAUCCUCCAAGGCUAAAUACUCCUGACUGACCGAUAGUGAACCAGUACCGUGAGGGAAAGGCGAAAAGAACCCCGGCGAGGGGAGUGAAAAAGAACCUGAAACCGUGUACGUACAAGCAGUGGGAGCACNNNNNNNNNNGUGUGACUGCGUACCUUUUGUAUAAUGGGUCAGCGACUUAUAUUCUGUAGCAAGGUUAACCGAAUAGGGGAGCCGAAGGGAAACCGAGUCUUAACUGGGCGUUAAGUUGCAGGGUAUAGACCCGAAACCCGGUGAUCUAGCCAUGGGCAGGUUGAAGGUUGGGUAACACUAACUGGAGGACCGAACCGACUAAUGUUGAAAAAUUAGCGGAUGACUUGUGGCUGGGGGUGAAAGGCCAAUCAAACCGGGAGAUAGCUGGUUCUCCCCGAAAGCUAUUUAGGUAGCGCCUCGUGAAUUCAUCUCCGGGGGUAGAGCACUGUUUCGGCAAGGGGGUCAUCCCGACUUACCAACCCGAUGCAAACUGCGAAUACCGGAGAAUGUUAUCACGGGAGACACACGGCGGGUGCUAACGUCCGUCGUGAAGAGGGAAACAACCCAGACCGCCAGCUAAGGUCCCAAAGUCAUGGUUAAGUGGGAAACGAUGUGGGAAGGCCCAGACAGCCAGGAUGUUGGCUUAGAAGCAGCCAUCAUUUAAAGAAAGCGUAAUAGCUCACUGGUCGAGUCGGCCUGCGCGGAAGAUGUAACGGGGCUAAACCAUGCACCGAAGCUGCGGCAGCGACGCUUAUGCGUUGUUGGGUAGGGGAGCGUUCUGUAAGCCUGCGAAGGUGUGCUGUGAGGCAUGCUGGAGGUAUCAGAAGUGCGAAUGCUGACAUAAGUAACGAUAAAGCGGGUGAAAAGCCCGCUCGCCGGAAGACCAAGGGUUCCUGUCCAACGUUAAUCGGGGCAGGGUGAGUCGACCCCUAAGGCGAGGCCGAAAGGCGUAGUCGAUGGGAAACAGGUUAAUAUUCCUGUACUUGGUGUUACUGCGAAGGGGGGACGGAGAAGGCUAUGUUGGCCGGGCGACGGUUGUCCCGGUUUAAGCGUGUAGGCUGGUUUUCCAGGCAAAUCCGGAAAAUCAAGGCUGAGGCGUGAUGACGAGGCACUACGGUGCUGAAGCAACAAAUGCCCUGCUUCCAGGAAAAGCCUCUAAGCAUCAGGUAACAUCAAAUCGUACCCCAAACCGACACAGGUGGUCAGGUAGAGAAUACCAAGGCGCUUGAGAGAACUCGGGUGAAGGAACUAGGCAAAAUGGUGCCGUAACUUCGGGAGAAGGCACGCUGAUAUGUAGGUGAAGCGACUUGCUCGUGGAGCUGAAAUCAGUCGAAGAUACCAGCUGGCUGCAACUGUUUAUUAAAAACACAGCACUGUGCAAACACGAAAGUGGACGUAUACGGUGUGACGCCUGCCCGGUGCCGGAAGGUUAAUUGAUGGGGUCAGCGCAAGCGAAGCUCUUGAUCGAAGCCCCGGUAAACGGCGGCCGUAACUAUAACGGUCCUAAGGUAGCGAAAUUCCUUGUCGGGUAAGUUCCGACCUGCACGAAUGGCGUAAUGAUGGCCAGGCUGUCUCCACCCGAGACUCAGUGAAAUUGAACUCGCUGUGAAGAUGCAGUGUACCCGCGGCAAGACGGAAAGACCCCGUGAACCUUUACUAUAGCUUGACACUGAACAUUGAGCCUUGAUGUGUAGGAUAGGUGGGAGGCUUUGAAGUGUGGACGCCAGUCUGCAUGGAGCCGACCUUGAAAUACCACCCUUUAAUGUUUGAUGUUCUAACGUUGACCCGUAAUCCGGGUUGCGGACAGUGUCUGGUGGGUAGUUUGACUGGGGCGGUCUCCUCCUAAAGAGUAACGGAGGAGCACGAAGGUUGGCUAAUCCUGGUCGGACAUCAGGAGGUUAGUGCAAUGGCAUAAGCCAGCUUGACUGCGAGCGUGACGGCGCGAGCAGGUGCGAAAGCAGGUCAUAGUGAUCCGGUGGUUCUGAAUGGAAGGGCCAUCGCUCAACGGAUAAAAGGUACUCCGGGGAUAACAGGCUGAUACCGCCCAAGAGUUCAUAUCGACGGCGGUGUUUGGCACCUCGAUGUCGGCUCAUCACAUCCUGGGGCUGAAGUAGGUCCCAAGGGUAUGGCUGUUCGCCAUUUAAAGUGGUACGCGAGCUGGGUUUAGAACGUCGUGAGACAGUUCGGUCCCUAUCUGCCGUGGGCGCUGGAGAACUGAGGGGGGCUGCUCCUAGUACGAGAGGACCGGAGUGGACGCAUCACUGGUGUUCGGGUUGUCAUGCCAAUGGCACUGCCCGGUAGCUAAAUGCGGAAGAGAUAAGUGCUGAAAGCAUCUAAGCACGAAACUUGCCCCGAGAUGAGUUCUCCCUGACUCCUUGAGAGUCCUGAAGGAACGUUGAAGACGACGACGUUGAUAGGCCGGGUGUGUAAGCGCAGCGAUGCGUUGAGCUAACCGGUACUAAUGAACCGUGAGGCUUAACC